rnacentral:lncRNA from 1 species
AUGGGGAUCCAGACACACCCCCGCGGAGGGGACAGGAAAGGGCAGGAAGGAGACAGAAGGGCCAGGCUGAGGCAGGCUGUCUUAGAGGAGGUGGAAGUGGAGCUGGCCUUUAGGGGGGAGGGACUCAAAGGGCAGAGAGAGGUCCUGGGGGGCUACUGGAGCUCCCCGCCGCCGCAGCCCCUCCUCCCACUACCUGUCCCCUCAGUAUCCACUGAACCCAGGUUUGUUCUAGGUGUCUGUCCUCCUUCUGGACUCAGGGUUAGUACUGUGGCAGCAGUAAUGCAACUAUCCCCCUUGCUUGGGAUAGAGUUGGGCAUGGGAUGGGGCUCAAGUCUGGCCAACGAGCAGUGAGGAAGAGUCUCUUAGGAGCUUCAAGGAAAAAAUUUCCCUGGUCUUAACCGGGGACAUAGGAUGAAGUAUUUCCUGUUUGUUGUUGUUGUUGUUGUUGUUUUGUUUUGCUGUUAUGGCCAUUAUUGUGUGACAAUGUGAUGUCUGGCGUAGCAGCAGCCAUCUUGUGACCAUGAGGAAAGCUAGCCAAGGACAAGGCAAUAUGCUGAGAAUGGCAGAGGGGAAGGAAAAGAGGAAAUAGCCUGAGUCCUUGAUGCUGAUAUUGAGUUACAGGAUUAACCUCUGCUGAAGCUACCCUUCCUCUGGACUUUUUGUUCUGUGAGAUAAUAUACUUUCCUUAUUGUCUAAGCCAACGGAAUAGAAAUUCUCUGUUUCUGACCACUAAAGACAUCUUUACUGGCACAUGAACCAUGGGAUCAAAAGAAUAAACACCUGACAUAAUAAUCUGAUAUGCUAAUAGCUGAUGGCAGGGACAACAGCCAUUGGUUAAAUGAGGAAAAUCUGAUUCCUUGACCAUGGCAGGCCCUAGGAAUUUCUUGCCCUGUUGGCUCAGAGGCCCCGUGCUCUGCAUUGUGUCCAGGCGUGUGGGAGGGCUUCUAUCAGAGGAGAGGUCCACUCCUGGCCAGCUGAACUUCUGACUCCCAUUUCCUGUAGGGUCAGCAGAGGAAAGCGGCUUUAUUUACUGAAUCAGAAUGGAAAACAGAUGUACAGGCACCCCACUGGGCCGUGGACAGAGGCUGGGCCUGUUCUCAGUCCUGACCCACACACCAAUUCCCUGUUCCCCAUAUCGAGUCCAGAUGUGGCUUCUUCCAAGCUCUAAUAAUAAUUUUGAUUUGUUGCGGUUAAGUAACCUUUGCCCCCAGCUCAACUCUAAACUCUCCAAGGAGAAAAAUAGGAGUUAUAUUAUGAAACGUUUGCAAGGAAGCCUGGGUGGGACGCGGAAGAAUGUGGACUUGAGAAGCAGACCAGUGUGGGUUCAACCACAGUCUGGUCUCACACUAACCGUGUGAUCUCCACCAUGGUAUCAGUCAACAGCCGCUGGGUAACAAGCCCCCACAAAACUCAGUGGCUCAAAUCAGUAAAUGUUUAUUUACUCAUAGUUCCAAAAUGUGGGCGGGGCUCGGUGGGACAGCUGGUUUGUUCUCCACAAAGUGUUGUGUUUUGGAAGUGAAGUCAGAUGGGACAAUGGAGCAUGUGCAUGAGCAGAGGGGACCUGUACAGUUAGCAUGGUCCACCCUGUUCUUUGCUUCCUUGUCCCUACAUAGAUCCUUUCUUCUCUUAAAAUGGUUUGCUACUCGCUUGAUCCAGAAAACCCCACGAAAUCAUGUAAAUUGAGAGUGUCAAAUCUUUAUGUUUCCUUUAAGAACACCCUGGGAAACUGCCCAGGCCAUCCUGGAUAUGCAUAUGUGAAAAGCCCUCAAGUAUAUGAAACAUGGGGAUCCCUGGGUGGCACAGCGGUUUGGUGCCUGCCUUUGGCCCAGGGCGCGAUCCUGGAGACCCGGGAUCGAAUCCCGAAUCGGGCUGCCGGUGCAUGGAGCCUGCUUCUCCCUCUGCCUGUUUCUCUGCCUCUCUCUCUCUCUCUCUGUGACUAUCAUAAAUAAAUAAAAAUUAAAAAAAAAAGUAUAUGAAACAUGUCACGGAAGCAGUGUGCGCUGUUCUGUAAACAAAUGGUGGAGCAGGAGGUUUGCUCACGCCAAGCCUUGAAGGGAGUAUUUGAUACAGAGAUGAGAGGGAUUGUUGGUGGCCAUUCUUGAGGGCAAAAUUCAACAACCAUUGGUCAAAACCUUUCUCCUCUUCAGGCUUCUCAUCUGUAGUACAAGAAGAAUUCUAUUUAUUUCCCAGGGUCAUUUGAGAAUAAAGGGGUAUUGUGGUUGCACAUCUCCUGAACAUGGCCCAUAGAGCAUUCAAGAUUGGCUGCUCCCCUUUGAUCUGGCUUUAUAAAUGCUGACCUAUUUACUAUCUCAUCCCAUCCAUCCAUUCAUUCGUUUAGUAUCUCCUGAGGCCUGUGACCCAGGUACUACCCUAGAUGUAGAGGAUACAACAGACAAAAGUCCCUGUGUCCAUGGAGUUUACAUUUGGAUAGAGAUAAAAGUUAUCAAAUAAGUGGUGUUUUGGAUGGUGAGAGAUGCUAAGAGUGGCUAGGGAGUGCUGAGGAGGGGCUGUAGUGUGUGGCCGGGUUCCUCUGAGUCCAUCCUGAAGGCAGAGCCAUGAGGAUAUUCCAGGCCGAGGGAAGGGCCAGCGCAGAGACUCUGAGAGGAGAUGGCCGGGGUGUUUGUGGAACAGAUAGGGCCCAGGGUGGCUGGAGAUGAGAACCACAGGAGAGGGCCUUUGGGAGGAUUUUUGCCUCUUACUGUGCAGGAGAUAAAAACACAGGGGCAGGUUUGGAGGAGGGCUCAGUGGGUUGCAGUGGGGAGUCAGGGAGGGGGAGGGGGGCCGGUGGUCUGGCCAGGGUGGUCAAGGGAGAGGUGGGAAAAGUGCCUGGAUUCUGAAUGGUUUCUUGGAGGUCAGCAGAUGGGAUUUACCUAUCAACUCUCAGUAAAUCAACCUAGCAUGGAAAGCAGGUUUUUGUUUUUUUGUUUUUUUGUUUUUUAAGAUUUAUUUAUUUAUUUAUUCAGAGAGAGAGCAGAGACACAGGCAGAGGGGGGAGAAGCAGGCUUCAUGCUGGAAGCCUGAUGCGGGACUCGAUCCCGGGUCCCCAGGAUCACACCCAGGGCUGCAGGCAGCGCUGCGCCACCGGGGCUGCCCGGAAAGCAGGUAUUAUCAAACUUUCAUUUUAUGGAAGAGAAAAUCUUUUGAGUGACUUGUGCAAAGUGCUAAGCUGCUAAGUGGUUCCUGGGCAGGUGGGAAGGCUGUGGGAUCUGUCUGAGGCUGACUCGUAAUGGGAUGUGUGUGGUCUGUGUAUGGGUGUGUCUAUGACGUGCCUUCUCUGGGUCUUUUUUUUUUUUUUACAUUAAAAAAAAUUAAAUUCAAUUUGCCAACAUAUAGUAUAACAACACCCAGGGCUCAUCCCAUCAAGUGCCCUCCUCAGCGCCCUUUUAUUUUCUUUUAGAGAGAGAGAGAAAGAGAGAGAGAGAGAGCAUGCUUAGGUGGGGGAGAGGGAAGAGGCAGAAAGAAGGGGAGGGGCAGAGAGAGAGAGAGAGACUCUUAAGCAAGGUCUGUGCCCAGCGCAGAGCCUGGCUGCAGGGCUCCAUCUCACGACCCCGAGAUCAUGACCUGAGCCGAAAUCCAGAGUCAGUCUCUUAGCCAACGGAGUCACCCAGGUGCCCCUCUCUGGGUCUUCUUACUUGGCCUCUCAUCUCCAUCUGGGACCCACUGCCACAUUCCAUCCUCUGUUGUCCUUAAGUCUUGUAGACAUACCCCAUGCAUUUCUGGUGCCCAGGGGAACCAAUCUAUGUCUAUGAGUGUGUAAGUAGGUGUGUGACUCUUGUCAUGUGCACAUGCCUUAUGUGAAUGUGCAUGACUCCCGGGUCUGAGUGUUACAUUGGCCGUGUCAGGGUGCACGUGGGAGUCCCUGUGAGAACCUACACGUGUGAGGGCUUAAGGGCCUGAACAUGCAUGAGCACAUGAAGGGUGUGUGUGUGUGUGUGUGUGUGUGUGUCUGCAAACGUGUGAGUGCGUGGAGGUGUUCUCUCUCCCCUCUACCCAUUCAAAUGUGCUGCCAUCCUAAAAAACCCAGGCCAAGCCCACCUCUUCCCUUCUCUGAUUCCUGACCUCCAUGCCCCAUCUGUCAGAGCCACACACGGGCUGGCCUCCCGUCCUUUGCUGGUGGUCUGGCUGCUUUAGAGGGGAAUCCAUUUCCUAGCCUGCAGGGCAGGGUGGGCCUGUGCAGGGGGUUGCCGUGGGGCACACCCCACCCUGGGUCAACUUUCAGCCACAUCUCCUGAGGUCAAUGGGCCCCACCCUCUGCCUCCCCUACAGGUUUCUUUACUGGAGGGAGAGAAGGCCACUGACCUCAGAAGGGUCUGGCAGGCAGUUCUGGUGGCCUCCAGCAGGCUGAGGCAGGUGGGGCAGAGAGUGGUUGCACCCUCAGGCUUCCUUCCUCCCCAAGGGUGGUCAGCUGAGCCUCCUGGCAGGAGAAUAGAAGUCCACACUGCAUUCUCUCUGUGAGCUCCCAGGUCCCCAUGUUGGGAUGGGGGCCUGGGGACCCCAGAGACUUGUCCCCACUUAGGCAGGCCCGUGGGCCCUAGUGCAGCUUGGCCCCACUCUUGGCCUCCUACCCCCACUCUCUCUUUAGGAGCCACCAGACCUCAGGCCUCCUCCUGAGUACUAAUAGGCUCCUUCCAGUCUCAACCUUUUCCCUUCUCCUCCCUUUCUCCAGACACUGGUUCCUCCAAGAGAGCCCUUAGGCCUCCCCUACAGGUACCAGAGGAUCCCUUUUCUUUAACUCCCUGGAAAUUAGACCUUUGCUUGGAGCAAGGUGAGGAGGUGCCUGGAGGCAUGGGGUCACUUCGGUCUAUCCUCCUGGUUGGCCUGCCCUUCCCUCUAGCCUGGCCAGGCACACUCCAGCUUUGGAGCCUUUGUUCGAGUCCUAUCCUCUGUCUGCAGUGUUCUUCCUCAGACCCUUCUCGGCUCCUUCCUCUCCGAGCACUUGUCAACCUAUCAUCUUCCCAAUGGGGCCGACCUGGUCCACCCAAUUUAACACUACUGCUCGUGGGCACCUGGGUGGCUCAGUGGUUGAGCGUCUGCCUUUGGCUCAGGUUGUGAUCCCAGGGUCUUGGGAUCGAGUCCACAUCCAGCUCCCCUGCAGUGAACCUGCUUCUCCCUCUGCCUGUGUCUCUGCCUUUCUCUGUGUCUCUCAUGAAUAAAUAAAUAACAUCUUUAAAAAAUUUUUUAGAAAACUCCUGUGACCGGUGUGCAUGCACACAGCCCCAUGCACCCCCUCGCCCACUCGGCCGUGCCCUCUCCUGACCCAGCUCUGCCUCCCUCACGUCUCAUCAGGCCCCUCGCCUCCUCCCACACACCAGUCCAUUCUGUC